GCAAAGUUGACCGCUGUGGAAUUUGAACUCAGAACAAAAGACGAACAAAAUGUCACUAAUCAUUUUGCCUGGUGGGCUAACGAGUCUACCGGCUCACCACCUUCUGGUUUCCUAAUAAUACAUUGCUUUUGUUAUCAUCAUCAUUUUUAUGCCUGCUUUUCUCCCACAUGCUGUCUUGAACUGGAUGAGCCACAUUGAAGCAGCUCUUUCUUUCUUGGCAAACCUUAACCUGUUUUUCAGACUCAUUUAUAGGCAGCUGUGAUUAUUCCUGUGUGUACCCUGGUGAAAAAUGGCCGGCCAACAGUCUGCAGUCAUUCUGUGAUGUUGUCAUGCAGGUUACUAAUUCACCAACCAACAGAGCAGCAGCUGCAGCAGCAACACUUUCAGACAAAGACACUGAAGAUGAAUCUGAUAUGGUUACAACACCACAGAGUUGAUGAGUUGAUUGCAACAGUAGCAUGUGACUGUUUAAUAUUUUAAUUUCCAUCUACUUUCUGCCAUCAACCUCAUUCAGAUUUCUGUCUCUCUCUCUCUCUCUCUCUCUCUCUCUCUCCUCGCUACCAAUUUAUCUAUCUAUCUGUCUGUCUGUCUAUCUAUCUAUCUAUCUAUCUAUCAAUCACACUAUCUCUCCAGUAAAAUUACCAAUCAGAAACAACUGCUCCUGAAAUGGAUUAUCCUAUUAGCAUACAUGGCUAAGCUGCCUUUGACUUGAUUAACAAACUUGCUACCCAAGUUUCAGGUUGACUCAGCAACAACAAUUGCAGAAACCACAGCAAAUAUAGUAAUCAUUGUUAGACAAAUUACUGUAAUUUCUCUUGUCAAACCACUUUUACGAUUAUUGACAAACACAAUGGCAACCCAGCCAAAUGAAGUACUAAACACUUUGUUUCCUCAAGUGUUGUGAGAUCCUCCUCUGCUGCUGCAGGCAGGCAUUGUGUUGCAAGAUAAUUACUUCUACUUGCUGCUUUUCAAAACCAAAAAAAAAAAGACAAAAAAAAAAACAACAAAACAAAAAGAAAACAGGGAAAAAAAAGUUUAAAAAAAGGCAUGUUGGCUAAUUGAUUAAUUAAUUAAUUGAUAAAUCGUCAUUACUAGUCUUUAUUCAGUACAUCUAUUGAUAAUUUGCUCACAUAUACAUGAUCUUUCUAGAAAUGUUUUAAAAGAAGUAGUAUCUUGUUAAGUUAUUUUUUAACCAAAAAAAGAAGAAAAAAAACCCAAAAACAAAAAGAAAAAAGUUGUUUUUUUUGAAGAAUUAUAAUAUUUCUUCAUAGAUGGAUUACAUCAAUAAUUGAAUGACUUUAAUCAUGCAAGCUUACAGAACAACUUCUUUUGGUGAAGAUUCUUUCUCUCUCUUCUCUUCUUAGGAAGCUUCCUAUUUAGAUCAUUUACACCUGGUUGAUCUUUUAGAAGUUCUUUUUAGUGAUAUUAAUUCAGAUUAGGGUCAAGGUUAGUGCCAACUUGUAUUGCACAACAUACCUUUCAUUGUCCUGUAGAAUUCUUGUCUGGGCUUUCCGGUGAGGUUAGCCUUCUACAUUGUUAAAUAAUACACGCAUUCACACACAUACACACAGACAAAUCUUAUGGUUUCUAGCACUUUUGUCUUUUCCUACAACCAUAAUCUAUAGAAGAGAAAAUCUGUUUUGCUCAGUUUGUCUAAUUAGUGUUAAAUGAUAUCAUGCUGUAUAGAUGAAUUCUGAAUGAAGGUUGUUAGCAACACUCACGGCCAAUGAACCCAUUUUCUGAAGGUGUUGCCCUUAUCUUGAAAAAUAAAAAAGACAAAAAAAAACAAUAUAACAUACACACAAAAAUACAAAUCUGAUGAGAGACUAGACAGAAAACAAAAACAAAAGCAAAAACAAACAAAAAGCAAACCAGUGCUUAGACCGAUACACUUUGUAGAAAUGGGCCCUAAAA
rnacentral:lncRNA from 1 species